UGGAUAAUGAGGUCAUGGCAAGAUUUCAAUUGACUGGCUUUAAAAUGCACACACACUACAAUUGCCCUGGUUGGAGCCAUAUAUUCAAGCCAACUAUAUGUGACUGAAGACUUGCUUUUAAAAACUGAAAGCUUUGAAUCUGGAGAUGGUGAUGGUCCCACUAGACACUGGUGGCAUGUCUAGAAACUGGACACAACCUGGCCAAAAAUAGGUACUGGAACAAAAGAAGAAGAAAUAUUUACAGGAGGCAUAGGUUCUAUUUACCUUAAUGUGGAAGAAUACUAUUUAACAUGGCCUUCUUCCCUGAAUCUGGAUCUUGCCUGCCUUUUAGGCCAGUGUGAACAGUUGGGCCACUUCCUAUUCAGAAGUGGCUGUAGCUAUUCACACCGCCAUCCCACUUUGCCAGGUUCAGGCAGCCCAGAGACAAGUGAGAGCACUUAGUUGCUGUGCAUUUUUGGGCUGUAUGGACAUGGUCCAGUAGCAUUCUCUCCUGACAUUUCACCUACAUCUGUGGCUGGCAUCUUCAGAGGACUGUUGGAGGAGAUGAAAGUGGAGUGUAUACUGUAUAUACCCGUGGAAUGUUCAGGGUAGGGGAAAGAACCCUUGUCUCUGUAAAGCAAGUGUGAAUGUUGCAAUUAGCAAGCUUGACUAUCAGUGAAUAAACAUGGAGCUGAAAAGUCCAUCAUUGAGGGUAUCUGCAUUGAGGGUAUCUUACCUUCUCCCAUCGUUCUGGGCUUUGCGGCACCCAU